UAGAGAAAAUUGCAACUUUGGGCCCAAAGGUUUGAAUAAUUAAAUUCAAACCUAUAGUUUUUUUUUUUGGGACUCACAAUCCCAUUUUUAUAUUAUUUUUCUCUCUUCCUCUCACGUUGCUCGGCGUUUUCUCGCAAGGGGGGAUUAUUUUCUUUUUUCUUCAGAUUAUAUUGACAAAGAUAGUGGUGAAAAAGGAGUUGUGAAGGGGAACUUGUUAUUCAAGACACAAGGAGCGAGUUCGACCGAGAAAGCACCAGAGGCGUAACUUUGGUGUAUGAGACACCAUCUUUUACGUUGCCUCUCAUUUUGUAUUAUGCAAUGUAAACUCUAAUCCUUUUUAUUAAAUGCAAUUAUAUGUCCAAGAGGAUUA